CUCUUUGCUUCAGUGGCAGUAUCAUAGCCAAUGAGGUGAAUCCGAGGCGUGAUUAUUGCUAGUUGAAAAUAUUUCUUAUUAACUCUCCCUCAGAUGAGAACUAUCGCUGAGGGUCUAGUCAUUGUGACAAUAAGAUGCCAUGGAACUUCUUGGAAGAAUAAGGGUAUC
rnacentral:snRNA from 1 species